AUAGCUGGUUCUCCCCGAAAUAGCUUUAGGGCUAGCCUCAGGUGGUGAUUACAGGCGGUAGAGCACUGAUCAGGAGAGGGACCUACCCGGUUACCAAACCCAGUCAAACUCCGAAUGGCUGUAAUCAAACCUGGGAGUCAGACUACGACUUAUAAGGGCCGUGGUCAAGAGGGAAACAGCCCAGAUCAUCAGCUAAGGUCCCAAAUGCCGUGCUAAGUGGCGAAGGAUGUGGCGUUUCAUAAACAACCAGGAUGUUGGCUCAGAAGCAGCCACCAUUCAAAGAGUGCGUAAUAGCUCACUGGUCGAGAGACGCUGCGCCGAAGAUGUCCGGGGCUCAAGCACGGAACCGAAGCUAUGGCAGAUUGCUUGCAAUCUGGGUAGGGGAGCGUUCUUAUCACGGAGAAGCGGUACCGGAAGGAGCCGUGGAGAGGUAAGAAGUGAGAAUGCUGGUAUGAGUAUCGAAAAGGCUGGUGAGAAUCCAGCCCACCGAAAGCCCGAGGGUUCCUGAGCAACGAUCGUCGUCUCAGGGUAAGUCGGGACCUAAGCCGAGGCAAAGACGCAUAGGCGAUGGAGAACAGGUUGAAAUUCCUGUACCGGAGCAGUCCGUCUGAGCGAUGGAGUGACGCAGCAGGGCACACGAGCAUGCGGCUGGAAGAGCAUGUCCAAGCCCGUAGCCCGUAUGGCAGGGAAAUCCGCCAUGCAAAAGGGUGAGAGGUGACGGGGAGUUAAAGGAAACUUUGACGAACUCGUGAAUCCCACACUGCCAAGAAAAGCUUCUAGCGAGGACUGUAUCCGCCCGUACCGUAAACCGACACAGGUAGGUGGGGAGAGAAUCCUAAGGUCGACGGGAAAACCCUUGUUAAGGAACUCGGCAAAUUGCAUCCGUAACUUCGGAAGAAGGAUGGCCCUGAGUAGGCGAAAAGUCUUGCACUUGGAACCGGAAAGGGCGGCAGAAAAGAGGCCCAAGCAACUGUUUACCAAAAACACAGGUGCCUGCGAAAGCGAAAGCUGACGUAUAGGUGCUGACGCCUGCCCGGUGCUGGAAGGUUAAGGAGAGAGGUUAGCGCAAGCGAAGCUUUGAACUGAAGCCCCAGUGAACGGCGGCCGUAACUAUAACGGUCCUAAGGUAGCGAAAUUCCUUGUCGGGUAAGUUCCGACCCGCAUGAAAGGCGUAAUGAUUUGGGCACUGUCUCAACGAGGGACCCGGUGAAAUUGAAAUACCUGUGAAGAUGCAGGUUACCCGCGACUGGACAGAAAGACCCCAUGGAGCUUUACUGCAGCUUGAGACUGGAAUUCGGAAGUAGACGCACAGGAUAGGUGGGAGGCUUUGAAACAUACACUUAGGUGGAUGUGGAGCCGCUGUUGGGAUACCACCCUUCUAGUUCUGGGAUUCUAACGCGAGGAGUAACGACCCUGCGGACAAUGUCAGGCAGGCGGUUUGACUGGGGCGGUCGCCUCCGAAAGAGUAACGGAGGCGCC
rnacentral:rRNA from 1 species